rnacentral:tRNA from 1 species
AGCGCAGUCUGGUAGCGCGUUCGGUUCGGGACCGAAAGGCCGGAGGUUCGAAUCCUCUC